rnacentral:rRNA from 1 species
UUCUGGCCUCAAAUCAGGUAGGAUCACCCGCUGAACUUAAGCAUAUCAAUAAGCGGGAGGA